GGAGAGAUGCCGGAGCGGUCGAUCGGGGCGGUCUCGAAAAUCGUUGUCCGUCGGUUGGCGGACCGUGGGUUCGAAUCCCACUCUCUCCGCCA
rnacentral:tRNA from 1 species